rnacentral:rRNA from 1 species
GACGAACGCUGGCGGCGUGCCUAACACAUGCAAGUCGAACGAAGCAUAGUAAUAUGCUUAGUGGCGGACGGGUGAGUAACGCGUGAACAAUCUGCCCUGUACAAAGGAAUAGCCUCGGGAAACCGGGAUUAAAACCAUAUAACACUUUAGUGCCGCAUGGCACAGAAGUCAAAUUGAUUAAGAGGUAUGGGAUGAGUUCGCGUCUGAUUAGCUAGUUGGUAAGGUAAGAGCUUACCAAGGCGACGAUCAGUAGCCGGCCUGAGAGGGUGAACGGCCACACUGGAACUGAGACACGGUCCAGACACCUACGGGUGGCAG